AAGAAAAAUUUACGUUGGUUGUUUGAAAAUGUUAGUUUUGUUAAUAAAAUCAUUUUUUAUAUAAUAAGUUUUUGUAUAGGUUAUAGAUAAAAUUUUUUUGGUGAUAGUUUAAUUGUAUUGUGAAAGAUUAUUGAAAUAUUUGAAAAUUUAUUUUUUUAAAAGUAGGCUCAGAUUGCCGUACCUUGUGUAUCAGGGUUCAUCUCAAAGUUUAUAAGUAUUUAUAUGUCCCGAUUUAAAGAGAGCUAAGUAUUUUUGUUAGUUAAUGUAGAAUAAUUAUUAAUUAAAAAUAUUUAGUAAUGAAACGUUAUCCGUUCUUUAAGAUAUCUGGUUUUUCAAGAAAUGAAUUUAAUUCAGUUAUUAGAUUUUAUUGGGCUGAUUAAUUAGUUUAAUAUGGUUUAAUAAAAAUAUUUGGGGGGAUAAGCUUCUGAAUAUAAAUUUAUAAGGUUUAAUUUUAAUUAAGAUUUUGUAGGCUUAGAAUUAGCCAUCAAUUAGAGGAUGUUAUAAUUUAUUUUUGAUUAAAUAUGAUUUUGUAAUGUAUUUAAAUUUUUUAUUGAAAUGUGAUUUUUAAUUAGUUAAGAUCAGUAGUAAUGAUGAAAUUAGUAUAAUAAAUUGUUGAUUUUAAUUUAACUGUUAGGUUACAUUAAGGAAUUCGGCAAAUUAAUGCUCGCCUGUUUAACAAAAACAUGUCCUCAUGAGAAUAAUUUGAGGUCUGACCUGCCCACUGAAUUGUAAAAUUUGAAGGGCCGCGGUAUUUUGACCGUGCAAAGGUAGCAUAAUCAUUAGUCUUUUAAUUGAAGGCUGGAAUGAAUGGUUGGACGAGGUAUUGACUGUCUCAGUGUAAAUGUUAUUAGAAUUUAACUUUUAGGUCAAAAGGCUUAAAUGUAUUUAAAGGACGAGAAGACCCUAUAGAGCUUUAUAUUAAAUAAUUAUUUCUAAUUUAGAUAAAUUUUGGCAAUAGUUAGUUAAAUAUUUUGUUGGGGUGACAGGAAGAUAAAAUAAACUCUUUUUAAGUUUAAACAUUAAUUUAUGAAUAAUUGAUCCAUUAUUAGUGAUUAUAAGACUAAGUUACCUUAGGGAUAACAGCGUAAUCUUUUUUGAGAGUUCAUAUCGACAAAAAGGGUUGCGACCUCGAUGUUGGAUUAAGGGUAAUUUUGGGUGUAGAUGUUCAAAGUUUAGGUCUGUUCGACCUUUAGAUCCUUACAUGAUCUGAGUUCAGACCGGCGUAAGCCAGGUCGGUUUCUAUCCUUAAUUAACGGUGAUAUUUUAGUACGAAAGGACCAAAUAUUGGGAAUAAAGUUUCUUUAAAAAUUGAUUGAUAAUAAUAG
rnacentral:rRNA from 1 species